rnacentral:misc_RNA from 1 species
CGAAGAAAGUACUGCGUGAUACGUGUGCGUCGUGAUUCGCGUCUACGUAGCCAAGCCGUUUCAUCUCAUUCUCUCUUUGCUCGACCUUCUCAGUUGACGCACCGCUCGAGUUUUGGUGCUGCUGCCGCUCUAUCGCCUACCCGAAGGCAAUUCACGACGCUCGUUCGUCAGAUGCCACGCAUCCAGCAAUUCCAGAACAUCGAUCGACAAAAAUCAUCCGGCAACACGAUGGGCGAGGAACAGCUCAAGUCCGAGGGCCAGAACAAUCAGUCCGAGAUUAAAAACGAAAACUCCUCGGGUGGCCAGCAGCAAGGUAAUCAGGGCAAUAAUUCUGGCGGAGGGCAAAACCGCGGAGGCGGCGGAGGCAGAGGUGGCCGCGCCGGUGGUCGUGGCGAUAGAAAGUCCGGUGGCAAUAGGUUCUCUGGAGGUCACGGUGGCAAUCGCGGAGGUCCCGGAGGCAACCAAGGCGGCAAUCGUGGCAAUACCAGCGGCUCCGGAGGAAACAUGAACAUGAACGACGUUCAGAUAAAAAUGAGCGAGUCAAUGAUUGAAGGAAUGCUUGAUGAGAGUAUGUUAAACCAGAGCAUGAACCAAAGAGGAGGUGGUGGAAGUGCUGGUGGAAUGAAUCAGAGAGGUGGUGCUAGACCAGGAGGACGCGGUGCUGCAGGUCGGGGUGGCCCCGGUGGACAUGAUAGAGGUAUGCCAAGUAGAUCUCAAGAUGAUAGAAUCAUGGAACGCAUCAUGUCUAUCAGUGGACCUACUCAUGAUUUGCCACCGCAAGAUAUAGAAGAGAAAAAAUUCAACAGCAGAAGUCGAUUGUAUGUUGGAAAUUUAACCAACGAUAUCACAGAGGAUGAACUACAUCAAAUGUUUGCUCCUUAUGGUGAAACUACUGAAUUGUUUUUGAACAAGGAGAAGAAUUUUGCUUUUUUGAAAGUGGAUUUUCAUGCUAAUGCUGAAAAAGCCAAACGGGAAUUGGAUGGUAGUGUUCGUAAAGGUAGAGUACUUAAAGUACGAUUCGCACCAAAUUCUUCUGUUAUUAAAGUAAAGAAUCUCACUCCUUGGGUAUCAAAUGAACUUCUUGCUCAUGCAUUUGGUGUAUUUGGAGACAUUGAACGCGCUAUUGUAAUUGUUGAUGAGAGAGGAAAAUCUACUGGUGAAGGAAUCGUUGAAUUUUCUAGAAAACCAAGUGCUCAGGCAGCUCUGCGAAAGUGCAGUGAAAGAUGUUUCUUUUUGACUGCGUCACUAAGACCAGUUGUCUGUGAACCAUUUGAACAGAAUGAUGAUAUUGAUGGAUAUCCUGACAAGAACUUGCCCAAAAAGCAUACUGAUUUUUACAAAGCCCGCGAACAAGGUCCACGAUUUGCUUCCAUAGGUAGCUUUGAGCAUGAGUAUGGUACAAGGUGGAAGCAGUUACAUGAAUUAUACAAACAAAAAGAAGAUGCCCUGAAACGUGAAAUGAUGAUGGAAGAAGAAAAAUUAGAAGCUCAAAUGGAAUUUGCUCGAAACGAACAUGAGACUGAAAUCCUUAGAGAACAAUUGCGUGUACGCGAAGCCGAUCGUGAAAGGAAGAAGAGAGAAUGGGAAAUGAAAGAAAGACAAGCAGAAGAACAAAGGACGCGCGAGGAAGAACUCAGAAGAAGGCAGCAAGAAGAAAUGGCCGUGCGAAUUAGACGUCAAGAAGAAGAGCUUCAUAGGAGACAACAGGAAAAUAAUCUUUUCAUGCAGGAACAAGCUAUGCGUGGCGGAGUUCCUGGACCAAAUAAAAAUUUCGAUAACAUGCCACCAGAACGUGAUGGAUAUCCUCCAGUAGAUGGAAACAACAUGCCAGUGAUUCGAGUUUACAAUAAUAUGUAUUGAAGGUACUCAUGGCAAAAAUUAUGAAAUGAACAAAAUGCAGUUUAGCUGCAAAAUGCCAAAUGAAAAUGAACGUAACUUCUCUUAAAAGCUGACUGGUCAUACUUGAUUUAGUAGGACAGUCGGACCUGAAACACCAAAAAAAUGAAGUCAAUUCAUGAUUCCUACCUAGUGCAAAUAAUUUCAUUCUU